rnacentral:rRNA from 1 species
AACGAACGCUGGCGGCGUGCCUAACACAUGCAAGUCGAACGAGAAAGGGGCUUCGGCUCCGAGUAAAGUGGCGCACGGGUGAGUAACACGUGGGUAACCUGCCUCUAAGAUUGGGAUAACUCGUCGAAAGAUGAGCUAAUACCGAAUAAGACCACAGUUCCCGCGGGAACAGGGGUCAAAGGUAGCCUCUGCUUGCAAGCUAUCACUUAGAGAUGGGCCUGCGCACCAUUAGCUAGUUGGUAGGGUAACGGCCUACCAAGGCAAAGAUGGUUAGCUGGUCUGAGAGGAUGAUCAGCCACACUGGAACUGAGACACGGUCCAGACUCCUACGGGAGGCAGCAGUGGGGAAUAUUGCGCAAUGGGCGAAAGCUUGACGCAGCAACGCCGCGUGAGUGAUGAAGGCCUUCGGGUCGUAAAGCUCUGUCGGGAGGAACGAAUGCUCCUGAGGUUAACAGCCUCGGGAGGUGGCGGUACCUUCAAAGGAAGCACCGGCUAACUCUGUG